rnacentral:rRNA from 1 species
UACGUAGGGGGCAAGCGUUGUCCGGAUUUAUUGGGCGUAAAGAGCGUGUAGGCGGCCUUACAGGUCAGCUGUGAAAACUCGAGGCUCAACCUCGAGACGUCGGUUGAAACCGUAAGGCUAGAGUCCGGAAGAGGAGAGUGGAAUUCCCGGUGUAGCGGUGAAAUUCGUAGAUAUUGGGAGGAACACCAGUGGCGUAAGCGGCCAACUAGACGAUUACUGACGCUCAGGCACGAAAGUAUGGGGAGCAAACAGG